UGAGACUGGGGUCUUGACCAGUCAGGAUGCU
rnacentral:piRNA from 1 species